rnacentral:sRNA from 1 species
AAUAGUUAGUUCAUUGACUCACGACGGGGCUUUUACAGCCAAUCCAUCUUAGCACUGUAAGUUGCUAGUACCAGUACCUCUCUCCAUGAAUCUUCAGUCCAAUCCUAGUAUCGCCCAGGAUCUGUAAGAAUUCGACAAUGUCGGCUCGGCGCGGAGAAACAAGCAUAAUAUAGGCCAAGACCGGCUAUCGGCUAAGGUUAACGAUUUGCCGGGACGAAAACCCGAUUUAUUAAGCGGCAGUUAUUUUGGGGGGCGGAGCUGAAUCAGAGGGUAUUUGAUGGGCUUUUGUCGUCGAGAUUUCGUGAUAUACCAGGC